UAACGCCACGCGUUUAAUCCUUUAGUAGGAGUGGGGGACCCGAUCUUUUGGGGUGAAUUUUUCCGUUUUAGCGGAAAAACGGACAUCUCUUCGUCCGAACCCGUCAGCUAACCUCAUCGACGUGAAGAGAGUCAUG
rnacentral:sRNA from 1 species